GUAUAUUUUUUGUCUUCUUCUUUUUUCCUUUUUUUUGGCAUUAGGAUUUUUCAUUUUGUAACAAUACUUUAGUUUUUAUAAUUUGUGUCACAAAGGUUAAAUAAUUUUAGUUUUUUUAUUAGUUUUUGUUUUACGUUUUUCUUGGAAUUGUUCAUCGUUCAUUACUAUUUAGCACAAUGUUUGAUAGUCACAUUUGGCCCUUUAGGGUUUUUUUCAUUCGUAUUUGGUGGUCACAUUUGGUCUUUUAAGGUUUUUACCCCCUCCACUUUCUGAUACGCAUCGUUGUAAAUUCGACUUCUUCUACGUUUUACGUCAUGUAAGUCACUUUGUGUUGGAAAUUCGUGUUUUUUUAUGCUUUACCCAGUUUUUGUUUUCGUUUGAUGCUACUUUGCAUAGUUUUACGUCCCAUCUCCUCAACGUUGGUAGCACGUUUUUAUGCCCACUGACCCGCAACGCGGGUAGCUUAAGACUAGUAUGUUAAUCAAAUGACUGUUUUGAAUAUAAGAAAAUGUUAUUUUCGUUGCAUAAGAUUUUGCUACCCGAGUUAGAAUAGCCUAAAGUGGUAAAAGGAGAAAUAUUUGAAAUCUAGUGUUCGAAAUAGCACUUUAAGAUAUAUUCUCGGAACCAUAUUAUUAUUUACUCUUUGAUAUAACUUAAUUUGGAAAAGAGUAUAAUGGUUGUGUGUGGACUCCUGUACAACCACAGCUAGAUUCAUUAUAUUCUGUCUUAUAAGAUCAAAAUCAAUUAUGCCACAUAUUAGUUUUUUCUAUUAAUUAAAUUUAUUCUGAUAUUUUGGAUACAGUUAUAGCUAGAUUCAUUCUACUCCUAUCUUUAUUGAAAAAUCUGUAGGAAAGUAACUCCCAUCUACAGGCUGUUUAUAGAUGCCAUAGUUGUCAAUAGCGGUAGCUAUAGUGAGCAGUGUAGCGUAUAGGUCGAAGGUCGCUACAGGGUAUGUAGCAAAAAAUAGCGGGAUUUCAGGUUUUUUUAACUACGAAUAGCGAUUAAAUAUAGCUAUAAAGUAGCUGGAUUUUAGGAAUUUGUUAAAUAUACAUGUAAAAAGAGUAAAUUACGAUUUUGACCCCUGUGGUUAUAUCACGUUUACCCCUUUAGCCCAAAAAGGAAUCUUUUAACAUCUGAGCCCCAACGUCUUUGUUGCUAACCCUUUUGAAUUUUAGGAAUUUGUUAAAUAUACAUGUAAAAAUCUAAGCAGUUAAAGCGGUAAAAUAGCGGAUAGCGGUCAAGGUCCGCUAUACGAUAUAUAGGUUAUUGCGGUGGUAUAGCGGUGAUAUAGCGGUAAUUUUUAUACCAUGCAUAAUUUAUGUAUUUUUAUAUUAUUAUAUACAUAUACCAUUAAUUUUAUAUUGUUUAGAUAUAAAUUCACAAGUAUGAGGACUAAAUAUAAACUAAUGAAGAUGGAGGGGGGUUAUAUGUUAAAAUACCCAAACUUAAAUAACCCUAAUUAUCCCCACUUUCAUCAUACGCCGUUUUCUUUCCCGCUCCCCUUCUCUUCUCCAUCAGUUAUCUCUACAAUAGUUCAAAAUCAUGGAGCAACAGCUGAUUUUUGUUCGAAUUAAGAGCUUUAACGUUCUUUUCUCUUGAUAAGCAAACCAACCGUGAAGUUGAAAUGCCCAAUCCCUGCAUCUAAGAGAACUCAUCUCUCUGAGACUCCUUUCCCCUGCACUGUCUUCUAGUAUAUAUAUUUCUUUCGCAAUCGAAAGACGUACUUAGUUAGUGCUUACAACUACUUCUCCCGAAGAAUCUAUUCUAUCACUUGGAGUCACUAAUGGAUUCUCCACUGCGCCCCUAGUACAUCAAGCAGUUUGGGAAUGUUGGGAGGUCGAAGAGCGGGGAUAUCAGUUCAUGCUGUAUUAUCAGAAUAUGGGUUUGUGGAGAUCGAUCCCGUUUCAAUGUCAUUACACUUUCAUGUCAAAGGGAAUUGGUAUCUCUCUUCUCAUUUUACUACACAAUUUAUAACAUCACUAGCAGUGAUAACACUGUAAUUAUCAAGAUUAAAUUUCAAAACCUGGGAGAGUAUUGCAAGGUUUAUGGGUCUUUGGUUAAUGGAAGGAACCAGAAUGCACUCAGGACGAAGAUAAACUGGUGCCGGUCUUGAACAUGAUGUGGGACUGUGGGCUACCCAAAAAUGAAGCUUUGGAGAAAAAUGAAAGAUGGUCUUGCAUUGCGCCUGCUUAUUGAUGCGGCUACCGACUGAACUGAAACUCAAGAUCUUGGAGUCGGUUUCUUGUGUUUGCUCAGAGUUGAGAUUCUUGGCCUCGAGCGAUGAUCUGGGGAAACAGAUGCACAUCAAGCAGUUUGGGAAUGUUUGCUCAAGCUUGGUGAAGUUGGGGAUUGUUUCAGUUAUUUAUUUUAAAUAUUUGGAUGAUUGUUAAAUUGUAUUUAAAUAUUUGGGUUUAUAUCUAUCAUUUGUUAUGUAUUAGUCCAAGAGAAGAUGAUCUGUGUUUGACACAUGCCCAAGGUUAGGAUGUUAAACUAAUGUGCUCGAAAGCGUGUGUUUGUACUUUAUAUUUACAACCAAUAGUGUUAUCUUGUGUUGACC